UACUCGAGUGGCGAACGGGUGAGUAACACGUGGGUGAUCUGCCCUGCACUUCGGGAUAAGCCUGGGAAACUGGGUCUAAUACCGGAUAGGAGCCAGUUUUAGUGUGAUGGUUGGAAAGUUUUUUCGGUGUAGGAUGAGCUCGCGGCCUAUCAGCUUGUUGGUGGGGUAAUGGCCUACCAAGGCGGCGACGGGUAGCCGGCCUGAGAGGGUGGACGGCCACAUUGGGACUGAGAUACGGCCCAG
rnacentral:rRNA from 1 species